CUACGGAGGGUGCAAGCGUUAUUCGGAAUCACUGGGCGUAAAGGGUGUGUAGGCGGUUUGAUAAGUCUGAUGUGAAAUCCUAUGGCUCAACCAUAGAACUGCAUUGGAAACUGUCAGACUAGAAUACUGAAGGGGCAGAUGGAAUUAGUGGUGUAGGGGUAAAAUCCGUAGAUAUCACUAGGAAUACCGAAAGCGAAAGCGAUCUGCUGGGAAGUUAUUGACGCUGAGGCACGAAAGCGUGGGGAGCAAACGGGAUUAGAUACCCUGGUAGUCC
rnacentral:rRNA from 1 species